rnacentral:rRNA from 1 species
AUUGAACGCUGGCGGCAGGCCUAACACAUGCAAGUCGAGCGAGCGGCGGACGGGUGAGUAAUGUAUGGGGACUGCCCGAUAGAGGGGGCUAACUACUGGAAACGGUGGCUAAUACCGCAUACUAUCGGAUAACCCAUAUGGGAUUAGCUAGUAGGUGGGGUAAAGGCUAACCUAGGCGACGAUCUCUAUCUGGUCUGAGAGGAUGUUCAGCCACACUGGGACUGUGACCAGUCCCAGACUCCUACGGAGGCAGCAGUGGGGAUUAUUGCCCAAUGUGCGCAAGCCUGAUGCAGCCAUGCCGCGUGUAUGAAGAAGGCCUUAGGGUUGUAAAGUACUUUCUGCGGGGAGGCGUUACCCGCAGAAGAAGCACCGGCUAACUCCGUGCCAGCAGCCGCGGUAAUUC